rnacentral:rRNA from 1 species
GAUGAACGCUGGCGGUAUGCCUAACACAUGCAAGUCGUACGAGAGUUUUUAACUCUAGUGGCGGACGGGUGAGUAACACGUGAGAAUUUGCCUUUAGGAGGGGGAUAACAAUUGGAAACGAAUGCUAAUACCCCACUAUGCUUUUGUAGUGAAAUGGAUUUUAUUCCGCCUAGAGAGAAGCUCGCGGCUGAUUAGCUUGUUGGUAAGGUAAGAGCUUACCAAGGCGACGAUCAGUAUCUGGUUUGAGAGGACGAUCAGACACACUGGAACUGAGACACGGUCCAGACUCCUACGGGAGGCAGCAGUGGGGAAUUUUGGACAAUGGGCGGCAAGCCUGAUCCAGC